UAGGGUUGUAAAGCUCUUUUACCCGGGAAGAUAAUGACUGUACCGGGAGAAUAAGCCACCGGCUAACUCCGUGCCAGCAGCCGCGGGUAAUACGGAGGGGGCUAGCGUUGCUCGGAAUAUACUGGGCGUAAAGCGCACGUAGGCGGCUUUGUAAGUCAGAGGUGAAAGCCUGGAGCUCAACUCCAGAACUGCCUUUGAGACUGCAUCGCUUGAAUCCAGGAGAGGUCAGUGGAAUUCCGAGUGUAGAGGUGAAAUUCGUAGAUAUUCGGAAGAACACCAGUGGCGAAGGCGGCUGACUGGACUGGUAUUGACGCUGAGGUGCGAAAGGUGGGGAGCAAACAGGAUUAGAUACCCUGGUAGUCCACGCCGUAAACGAUGAUAACUAGCUGUCCGGGCACUUGGUSUUGGGUGGCGCAGUAAACGCAUUAAGUUAUCCGCCUGGGGAGUACGGCCGCAAGGUUAAAACUCAAAGGAAUUGACGGGGGCCUGCACAMGCGGUGGAGCAUGUGGUUUAAUUCGAAGCACCGCSCMGMCCCUUCCCMGCGUUUKAC
rnacentral:rRNA from 1 species